AUGGCUGGUACAGAGGGUUGCGAUACCGUGAGGUGGAGCGAAUCCCUUAAAGCCAGUCUCAGUUCGGAUCGCAGUCUGCAACUCGACUGCGUGAAGUCGGAGUCGCUAGUAAUCGCAGAUCAGCAUUGCUGCGGUGAAUACGUUCCCGGGCCUUGUACACACCGCCCGUCACGUCAUGAAAGUCG
rnacentral:rRNA from 1 species